UACGUAGGGUGCAAGCGUUGUCCGGAAUCAUUGGGCGUAAAGAGCGUGUAGGCGGCCCGAUAAGUCCGCUGUGAAAGUCCAGGGCUCAACCCUGGAAUGCCGGUGGAUACUGUCGGGCUAGAGUCCGGAAGGGGCGAGUGGAAUUCCCGGUGUAGCGGUGAAAUGCGUAGAGAUCGGGAGGAACACCAGAGGCGAAGGCGGCGACCUGGAUGAGUACUGACACUCAACUACGAAAGCGUGGGGAACAAACAGG
rnacentral:rRNA from 1 species